UAACAUAUUGUAAGAUAUAAUGCUCCACUAUGCGUCUAUCAUAACUCAAUCAUACUGUAGAAUAUUUAAUUCAUAGCAGUUAGAAGUUAGAAAUACAGAAGUAGCGAAUGCCGAGGCAUAUAAAAUACUAGUAGUUUUAUUUUGGAAGGUCAAGUUGAGAUACAAAUACAAUGAAUCUCUGCGCGUGUAUUAUUUUUAUUGAAUUGCAGCCCCCAUUUCCAGUCAUCAGACCAUAUGUGUUUGACUUCCUUC
rnacentral:lncRNA from 1 species